GGCUGAAUAGUUGCUCGUAAUUGAUUACUUUCAUGUUUAUUAGCUAAACAUUUUCAUUAACACAAACAUGUUCAUGUUAAAAUGUUUAUAAAAUUGUUUGUACAAAAUAGAGAAGUUACCCAGUUUCUCUGUAUACCUAAGAAAAUAAAACUAUGUACAGAGUGACACAUAGUUUACAGAGGUCGUGCCUAGGUAGCAUAGUGAAAAAAGCCAUAGCAUAUCCAGG